UGAUCUGAGGCAGCUAGGGUUCAGGACCUUCCAUGCAUACAGCAAGGAGAGUAGAGGGAUUGAUGGGGAAGACGGGAGUUUGGGGCAAUGAGGGACAAGGCGAAGGUCAGGAGGGCCCUGCGUGCAGUGGAGGCAUUUUCUGUGGCUUAGAACCAACGGAAGAGAUGGAGGAAAGACCUAGGACCAUGAAAAGGAGAGGAUUCCAGGUGACCCAAUUCCUUCAGGAGAGCAAUCACGAUGCCCCGGGAGAACAACCUCUGCACCUGGACGGAUGGUCUUUGCAGCCAGUGACAACCCACCUUACCGACCAAGGUCUUCCAGGUUGACCCCGGGAGCUAGAAUGUUCCCUUGUCCCGCCUUGUCGCUCUGUCACUGCACCACUCAGCCCCGUCCAGGGCCACCAGUAACAGAAAUCGAAGACCUCAGGGAGUCCCACGGCGAGUUGAAGCAGGCCUAGAGGUUCCAGAAGUCCUCACCCUGCUUUACUCUGACAGCUGCGGGCUGCAGUGGCAAGGUCUCCUGCGGGCUCAUUUUGAGCUCAUCUUUGUAAAAAAAAAAAAAAAAAAA